AUUGAACGCUGGCGGCAGGCCUAACACAUGCAAGUCGAACGAGUGGCGGACGGGGGGGUAAUGACUGGGAAACUGCCCGAUGGAGGGGGAUCACUACUGGAAACGGUAGCUAAUACCGCAUACCAUCGGAUGUGCCCCGAGGGGAUUAGCUAGGAGGUGGGGGAACGGCUCACCUAGGCGACGAUCCCUAGCUGGUCUGAGAGGAUGACCAGCAAAACGGGAACUGAGACACGGUCCAGACGCCUACGGGAGGCAGCAGUGGGGAAGAUGGGACAAUGGGCGCAAGCCUGAUGCAGCCAUGCCGCGUGUAUGAAGAAGGCCUUCGGGUUGUAAAGUACUUUCAGCGAGGAGGCGUUACUCGCAGAAGAAGCACCGGCUAACUCCGUGCCAGCAGCCGCGGUAAUUC
rnacentral:rRNA from 1 species